rnacentral:lncRNA from 1 species
CAUGGAGAUCCUACUACUACAGAGGAGAGGAGGUAACAUGGAGAUCCUACUACUACAGAGGAGAGGAGGUAACAUGGAGGUCCUACUACUACAGAGGAGAGGAGGUAACAUGGAGAUCCUACUACUACAGAGGAGAGGAGGUAACAUGGAGAUCCUACUACUACAGAGGAGAGGAGGUAACAUGGAGGUCCUACUACUACAGAGGAGAGGAGGUAACAUGGAGGUCCUACUACUACAGAGGAGAGGAGGUAACAUGGAGAUCCUACUACUACAGAGGAGAGGUAACAUGGAGAUCCUACUACUACAGAGGAGAGGAGGUAACAUGGAGAUCCUACUACUACAGAGGAGAGGAGGUAACAUGGAGGUCCUACUACUACAGAGGAGAGGAGGUAACAUGGAGAUCCUACUACUACAGAGGAGAGGAGGUAACAUGGAUGUCCUACUACUACAGAGGAGAGGAGGUAACAUGGAGAUCCUACUACUACAGAGGAGAGGUAACAUGGAGAUCCUACUACUACAGAGGAGAGGAGGUAACAUGGAGGUCCUACUACUACAGAGGGAAGCCUACUGGAUAUCCUGUCUAAAAACAUUGACCCCUCGUGGUCUGAAUAUUGACUUAGAUCAAAGACCCUUAUUAUGAACAAUAU